UUUACCCUCCCGCUUCAGAGUCUUUGAAUCACUAACUGCCAGACCAUAAGACUGCCAUCAGCCACCCAGGCGAGGGGCCGCAAGCAGUAGGAACCCUGGUGCCAUCAGGAGCUGGCAGCCAGCUUAUUAACGAACCGUUUAUGGCUGAACUCUCAGCAGGGAGUGGCCACUCAGCAACCCUCCAGCAGGCCAUGGAUCAUCAUAAGGCCCCAGCGCAUCUGUGGGCUCUGACCCAGCACAAACAUCUCAACACUCAAUAUGUAAACUCAAGAUUCAGGACUUCAUGGACAUGAUCUAUGAGAUCCUAACAGGUAGCCCAAGAUUUGGAAAAUGAAGACAUUGGGCAUUCCCUGGGCUCUUACGAUAUGCCAGACACAAGGUCCAUUCAUGUGGAUUCUCUCAUUAAAUCCUCCCAGCAAGUCUGUUUGGUAAUUGUUAUUCUACCCAUUUUGCAGAUUAGGAAGCUGAGGCUCAGAGAGGUGAAGCAGCUUCUCCAAGGUCAGGCAGCAGAACAGCAUAGCAGGAAAUGGCAGCAUCCAAGGUGAUGGGAGAAGGUGAGAUGGAGGAGUAAAAUCGUGGAACAUCUUCAGAGCCCAACCCUCCCAUUUCAGAGUUGGAAAAGCUGAAGGCAUUUAACAAGUUGUCCAAAGUACAAUGGUAAGCCACAAAGGCAGGAUUCAAACCCAGGUUUCCAAACUCCAAGAUUCCCAGUUCAUUGCUCUUUCUAGAUAGUGUAAGAGGAAGUAUGUGAAAGCCACAGAUAAACCAA